AGCAGCAGCCGCGGUAAUACGUAGGUCCCGAGCGUUGUCCGGAUUUAUUGGGCGUAAAGCGAGCGCAGGCGGUUAGAUAAGUCUGAAGUUAAAGGCUGUGGCUUAACCAUAGUACGCUUUGGAAACUGUUUAACUUGAGUGCAAGAGGGGAGAGUGGAAUUCCAUGUGUAGCGGUGAAAUGCGUAGAUAUAUGGAGGAACACCGGUGGCGAAAGCGGCUCUCUGGCUUGUAACUGACGCUGAGGCUCGAAAGCGUGGGGAGCAAACAGGAUUAGAGACCCGCGUAGUCCCUGUCUCUUAUAAC
rnacentral:rRNA from 1 species